GAUGAACGCUGGCGGCGUGCCUAAUACAUGCAAGUCGAGCGAACAGAUGAGGAGCUUGCUCCUCUGACGUUAGCGGCGGACGGGUGAGUAACACGUGGAUAACCUACCUAUAAGACUGGGAUAACUUCGGGAAACCGGAGCUAAUACCGGAUAAUAUAUUGAACCGCAUGGUUCAAUAGUGAAAGACGGUUUUGCUGUCACUUAUAGAUGGAUCCGCGCCGCAUUAGCUAGUUGGUAAGGUAACGGCUUACCAAGGCAACGAUGCGUAGCCGACCUGAGAGGGUGAUCGGCCACACUGGAACUGAGACACGGUCCAGACUCCUACGGGAGGCAGCAGUAGGGAAUCUUCCGCAAUGGGCGAAAGCCUGACGGAGCAACGCCGCGUGAGUGAUGAAGGUCUUCGGAUCGUAAAACUCUGUUAUUAGGGAAGAACAAAUAUGUAAGUAACUAUGCACGUCUUGAUGGUACCUAAUCAGAAAGCCACGGCUAACUACGUG
rnacentral:rRNA from 1 species